GACGAACGCUGGCGGCGUGCUUAACACAUGCCAGUCGAACGGAAAGGCCCUGCUUUUGUGGGGUGCUCGAGUGGCGAACGGGUGAGUAACACGUGAGUAACCUGCCCUUGACUUUGGGAUAACUUCAGGAAACUGGGGCUAAUACCGGAUAGGAGCUCCUGCUGCAUGGUGGGGGUUGGAAAGUUUCGGCGGUUGGGGAUGGACUCGCGGCUUAUCAGCUUGUUGGUGGGGUAGUGGCUUACCAAGGCUUUGACGGGUAGCCGGCCUGAGAGGGUGACCGGCCACAUUGGGACUGAGAUACGGCCCAGACUCCUACGGGAGGCAGCAGUGGGGAAUAUUGCACAAGGGGCGGAAGCCUGAUGCAGCAACGCCGCGUGCGGGAGGACGGCCUUCGGGUUGUAAACCGCUUUCGCCUGUGACGAAGCGUGAGUGACGGUAAUGGGUAAAGAAGCACCGGCUAACUACGUGC
rnacentral:rRNA from 1 species